CUUUCUGUUUCCUUUUUCCUUUAUCAUUAAGUUGAAGGUUGAGUAGAUUUCUGCUAAUUAGAGAUAUACCCAUUUUAAAUUUUGAAUAUUUUGUGGGUUAUUAUAGGUGAGGGGCUGCAUAUUUGGCAAUGGGGAAGUUCAAGGACGCACUCUAGGAUUUUCAAUAGGAAAGUUGAAGAUAGAAAAUCCUUUCAUGGAGGUUUUCAUUUCCAUACUUUUGAAUUGCUACAUACACUUUUAUCAGGUAAUAUAAAACUUCUUAUAUGUUGCUGUGUUUGGACUAGCAAAGGCUAACUACUAAGCUGAGCAUUAUAGCUUGGUCUCAUUAGCAACUGAUGGAACAUCCAUUCCUAUAAUUGUUCGAGUGAAAUUGAGUAAUUGAUGGAAAAACUAGUUAAGUUGAUGAGUUAGAGUUGACCACGGUUAACGCCGGGUUAGGAUGACCUCGUGUCAAUGUUUGAGAAGUUCCAACAUGUUAAUAUGAUGAUUUUUAACUUGUACACAAGUUUUGGUGAGGUUCCAAAGAGUUUCAGAUGCGUUUGGGUUUUGUCGCGCUGGUAUUCAAUGUUUUCGCCGGAGGUCUGUGGAUAGAAACGGCUCCACAUUGAGCAUCUGACCUUUGUUUUGAGUGACGUCUGAACCAUUAGAUCCAUAUCGAAAUUACGAAGCUAUAGGAAAAAGAAUCGACCCGUUUGGCCACCGUAUGAGGGAGUUAUGCCCAUUUUAGUACGGACUGUUCCAGCUGGCCGCUAGAAGCGGCUAGAGGCCGCUAUAGCGGUACCGCUGUCGCGGUCUGGAGGUCGCCGCAGCGGCCAAUGGGGCCAGAAUCUCUUAUUUUAAUAUCCCAACUUCGAACCCUUAUUCCCAAGACCCCAAAGUCAGUUUUCAAGAGAGAAAGAGGCAAAAUUCAUUCCAUUCAUUGGUGAAAACAUCUUGGAGGGUAAGUUCCCAUCUUUAUUUGUUCAUUUUUUCCUUUCUUCUUCAAGUUCCAUGAUUAUUUUAAGAGGUCCAUCAAUGGUGGGUGAAAAUCCUAGAAUAGUAAACCCUUAAAUAAUUGGUGGGUUGUUGAUUUUGUUGUUGAUUAAUAAUCUAGGAGUAUAUAUUAUCACUUUCUAGGAAAGGAAUUUGAUUUCUUAUGGUUGAAAUUGCAUAUUGAGACUUAUGGUUCUAAUAAAAAUGGAAUCUUUGUUCUAAAAUCUGUUGGAAAGGGUAAAAUUGAUUAGAAACCCUUGAAUUGAAGGUUAAUGAUUGUAGAGAUAGAAAUUAUGACAAAUUCACCAUUAAAGGAUGGUUUCAUCCAUUGAAGAGGGUAUAAGUAAGUGGGUCUUCUUCCCCCCAAAUUGUCAUUUUUGUUUGAAUACAUGGAUUGUUGCUUACUUAGAAUCAUAUUGUUAGACUUUGAUCGUUAUGAGGCGCUUCAGAAAUAGAAGGCUCGUGUGGAGUAGUUCGUGGCUCCUGUUCUGCAUUUCAGGUAGGUUACGACUUACUUUAGUUAGACUUUGGUUAGCGAAAUGUAUAUAUUGUGUAGAAUUGAUGGGAGAAAGCAUGAUUAGGUCUUCAGACAUAGUGUUUGGUUGGAUAUUAGCUAGGUUGGUAUGACUUCUGAUUUUGUGGGCUCAUCGCCAUUACUUAUGUACUGAAAUAUGAGGUGUAGUUAUUUUCAUACUGUGGCGAUUCGGGAUGGAUUUCUAUUAGGUU